CCGCACCGGGCUAGGCACACGUACAGGAGACACCGUGCGCUCUACUGCGUAACACGGUGUCUGCCCGUACUCCCGCUCUCCACGGUUAGCCUGGGAAGUGGGCGCAGCUCUCCUACCUGCCCUUGACCCACUACCUCUUAGCCCACCCUCCCCAAGAAAUUUUUGAGUAGUACGCACAGGCUUUUCGGGCUUCCGUGCUAGACGCGUCCCAUCAUAAUGCCGGUUUUGGGCUUGAUUCUCCGGUCUCCAGCCUUGCUUCCUUGCUGCCUCCUCAUAUCGCUGCCUCUCUGCUUUCGCUGCCUCCAGCUCAGCUUUGGGGCGGCGAUAUUCUCCUGGCUGCGCCCAGGGUCCUUUGCCUUCUAGGUCUUCCUCCCAUGUCCAUUUCUCCAAAUAAUUAAGCCUCUCCUGUUGCGUGUUCCACUGCUCGAACUUAUGCUGCUUGGUUCUGGAUUGGUGGGUGGUUCUGUAAUGGUAGUCCUCCUCCUCUUUAUCCGAAGAGGAGGAGCAUGGAUUGAACCAAAACGCAGCUUCUGAAGUUGACAUAUUUAUUUACAGAAAAGACGAAAACACGAACUUCACUAUAACCUAACAAAACAACAAAACGGAGUAGACAAACCUGGACAUGCGAACUCACAUACAACGCAGAACUCACAAACAGGAAAAUGACUACACAAAAGGCCGAACGUACAAACAAACCGAGAACAGUCCCAUGUAGCGUAACAUACAAACACUGACACAGGAGACAACCACCCACAACGAACACUGUGAAACAACCUACCUAAAUAUGACUCUCAAUUAGAGGAACGCCAAACACCUGCCUCUAAUUGAGAGCCAUACCAGGCAACCCUUAAACCAACAUAGAAACAGACAACAUAGAAUGCUCACCCAAACUCACGUCCUGACCAACUUAGACAUACAACAAACUAACAGAAAUAGGUCAGGAACGUGACACUUACUGCGUUUUAGCUUGGUUUCAACCUGCCCUUGGCCUCAGUUACUGCGUUUUACCUUGGUUUCAUAUCAUUUUAUUCUGAUAGUGAUGUAAUCGAACCUGUAUGACACUGACUGACAGCUACACACACAUACAUUGCUAAUCUAGGGAUACAACAUCAUGGCACAGCAUUCCCGGGGGAAAAUGAUGGUUGAACUUGCUCUGAAACGCCAACAUCCAGACACUAGCUAGCUAAGUAGAUCUGAGAUCAAAAUUAGCUAGCUAGCAAGCUAAGCUAGCUAUAUUAGCUAGCGAGCAUAGACUAUAACAAUGCCACCUGCUCUCAUAAGAAGAGAUCUGCAAGUCAUACUAACUUCAAUCUCUUCAAUCCCAUAUAAUUAAUUAUAUUCUGAAAUUUCAUCUGAUGGUUUCUUUGAAUCAGUACACCAUACACACUAUUUCUAGCCAGUGACAGCAACCUAGCUAAAACCGACAAGCACCUACCAAAACGUCAAGACCUACCUAGCUAGCAUUAGCAUGAAGCAAUAGAAUUGUGCUACAUACUCCCAUAAGAGACACACUCCCAUAAGAGACAAUCAGCAGUUUAAACUAGGCUCAAUCUAUUAUACCUAGAAAUAAUAUAAUCCCUAUAGUUGUAUUCUGACAUUCCAUGGGUCAUUUGAAUCCGUAACGUUACACCACACACACGAUGUCUAGCCAGCUGACGGUCAGUUGGACCUGGACCCCAUACUGAAUUGUCAAAAGCCACGCACACUUGUUUUGACAUGCCAAACGUGUGCUCAAUGUGUCGGCUUCAGUGCCAUCAUUACAUGAAUGCAGAAAAGACAGUUUUGCAUGACUUCCACCAAUCCCUGUGGUCUAGAUGAGUAGUAUCUAUGCGGAUCAAAGUUGCCAUGUGAGGGUGUAUUAGGACAGCACAACCACGUCAAUACUAGGUUUUAUUCCUGUCGAUGUGCAUCCAUGCAAUUGUUUUGUAUUUUUAAAUAAAGAUGAACAUUUAAAGAACCUUUUUGGGAGCAGGUAGAUAGAUGAACUGAGUUGACAGUGAAAAUGAUUUAAGAUCAUGUUUUCACAAAAUAAAAUCAACAUUGAUUAUAUCCUAUAUUAUAGAAUAACUGAAAAUGAUUAUGAUCAUAUGUUUGCACACCAGAAAAUGUCAGAAUUAAUUAUUAUCAUCCAUGACAGAAUAGAAUCAUUAGGAUGCAUGUCCUUGACUAUUUGCUCUAUUUAAUUUCAGUUGAGUUUGAGGGCCACAUUCCAACAAAGAUUCCUGAUCUACCCCCUUUAACUGAAGUCACAGUGUCAACACUAUUUGAAGAAAUAGAAAACCAGUGGGUGGUCUCUGACUCCUUAGACAUCAGUCUAUCAGAUGAGAAAUCAAUUGCGGAAAUGAUGAUGAUGAUGAAGAUUAUCAUCCAGCUUCAGAGUUGAAUGUUCCAGCACAAGUGGCAGCUGAGCCCGUGGACACAACUCCAGACAACUUAUCAAACAAGAAAUCCAAGAUUCCACCAAUGGGUAGGCCAUGUGGUUCCAGAUGCAAUGUACUCAGAAUAUUUCAGAGGGUAGGCAAAAAGAAAUGUGGGAAAAGUAUUGGGAGAUGAAGUAUAAGGAGAAGAGGACAUGGAUCUUCCACAUGGUGGCACAGCAAUCUAAGAAAAAUAUCACUGUUGGCGCUGACAGUCGUCGCAGCAGGUCGUUUCUGUACCAUCUUCCAAACCAGAGUGGUUCUGCACAACAGGUGUGCAAAGUGUUUUUUCUGACAACAUUGGGCUACCACCCCAAAAACGACAGGCUGAUUGUCACGAUGAUGGGCAAGUCAAUCACCACCAAACUGAUUCCACCAAGAGGGGAAAGAAAGCUUCAGUGAGCAAAUUGAACAUGAAUCCAAUCCUGCAACACAUUGAGUCAGCCACUAUAGACGAGAGCAUGCCCCACAUCGCCUCUACCUCCCUACGGACUGUAAUGUUCUUCGUCGGGCGAAAGAGAGGAGGACCAAGAUGCAGCGUAGUGAGUAUUCAUUUUAAUAAGAAUACUUAAACAAAGAACGAAAACAAUAAACCGACAAACGAACGAAGACGAAACAGUCCCGUAUGGCGACAUACACAACAACACAGGAAACAGGAACAAUCACCCACAACCCACAAUGACAAAACAGGCUACCUAAAUAUGGCUCCAAUCAGAGACAACGACUGACACCUGUCUCUGAUUGAGAACCAUAUCAGGCCAAACACAUAGAAAUAGACAAACUAGACAUACAACAUAGAAUGCCCACUCAUAUCACACCCUGACCAAACAAAAUAUACAAAGCAAACUAUGGUCAGGGCGUGACAGUGACGUCAAUAUUCGGUUCAUGCAUAGUGACUACAAGGAGAAGAACAAAGAUGCCAACUGCGGUUACGAAACCUAUCGCAAGGCAGUAAAGGGAAGGAACAUCAGCGUUGUGAAGCUUGGAGAGAAGGAGUGAGAGCUCUGUUUGGUGCAGGGUCAUCAUCUGAAGAUGGAGCACAGGGAGAAUGAGGCCUUGGAAACCGAAGCCUGCCAAGACAACAGCCAAUGCAGCAUCUGAAUUCACCAUCCCCAACCCCGAAUGCAUGCAAUGUAGAAAAUAUGAGGAACAUAAGAAGUCUGCAGGGCAGAGCAGAAGCCAUUACCAGGCCGAUGCACAGAAAGUUUGCCCAGAGGCCCGGCCUGUUUGGAGCGUUGAUAUGCAAAAAAAGUCAUCAUGUUCCCUCGCAUGCCAGGUGUGAAAACAGCAUUGUUCACAAGAUGAAUCGUUGCCUAUCACGAGACAUUCGCCACCAUUGGAAAGAAGUCUCAAAAGAAGAAGAAAACACAAUCUCAGUGGUAUGGCAUGAAGGAACAGCUGGUCGGAAGGCAGAGGAGAUUACUUCAUUUUACGUAACAGCACUGGAGAGGGGAAGACACACAAAGGAUGCAGCUUCAACUCUGUUAUACUGUCAGUAAUUACACUGCUCUUGUAUUAAUAGCAUAACUGAGAAGUACAGUAAACUAACAAAUGAAAAUGGCAGAUACUGCUCUUUGCUUUGGUAUUACCCUGCAAUUUAUAACAUAUCAUGCCAAGGAAGAAGGCAGUAACUGCCGUUUAAGGGUCAAAGGUCAUGUCCGAGGUCAUGGUCAACAUGAAUAAAAAAAUGUACUCAUAGUAAGGCAACAGAUCAUUAAAUCUCCAAUGAUCUCCCUAUAAUUCAUUUGGCUUUUUACAAUUAAAAAACUUUGAAGCCAUUUUUCUCAGUUCCACUCUAUGAGUAGUUACAGCCUUUUUGCUUGGGAGGGCAGUAUUGUUGUAUAGUAUGUAGUGCCCAAUGACACGUUGCCAUCGGUGUCAUUGUUUAUUGGUAAACAUAGUUUUCAUAUAAGCAUGAUACUGCAGUGUUUUCUAUAGUGGCCUUUGUUAAAGUGGUGGUUGAGCUGCCAUGGGCGAGCUCCUAGAACCCUCCCGGACGUGUAAUUUAUGAACCUGUGUCGCUGGGGCAGAUCAGCACCGAAGGGCGUGAGAGAGAAGGUGCCAUAAAUCUUUAUUUUGACAGUCUCUCAGUAAUUGGUUUAAAUUCAUUUUCAAUUUAAAGGCUUUAUUGGCAUGGGAAACAUAUGAAAUAGAUAAUAAACAAAAUUGAAAUAAAAACAAUAAAAAGUUAACAGUAAAACAUUACACUUACAAAAGUUCCAAAAUAAUAUUAUGUGUCUCUCUCUUACAAGAGGUUAUUCUUUAGGUUAAUAUUUAUACUGCUAAGUUUAUAGCCCUGUUUAUAGCUGUGUUAUAAUAGUGUAAUUAUGCUUAUUCAUUCCUCUAUAUUGCAUAUGUAACAGGGUUGGUUAUGUUUCCACUUGCCUCUAAAGAAAUGUGUAUUUAAUGUUCAAGCAUUCUUAUUGGUUAGUUCAACUCUGAUGACAAUAAGGUGUGUUGUGAUUGGCCCCGCUUGCAGAUAGGGGGAGAUCGCGAACGUCAGGUCUUCCCAGUAUGAAAAUGUGAUGCAAGGGAUUUUGUCAUCGACAGCCAUCAACACUGUUAAGCCCUGCACAACUAACGUGCUGUUUCCCAUUUAACAACAGGCAGGCACCAGAAAGGACAGAAAAACCACAAAGCGGCCCAUGAAGACUCGGAUGCGGGAUCUGAAGCCAGCGAGGGUUGUCCAGAACUCACUCGCAAGAAACCACCUUGUCUGGUACCGGUUAAAAGGGAAUUUCACCCUGGAGGAAUCUGGGCUUGUUUUCAUCAUGUCUGAGGCAUUUCUAGAACAGUGAGAUGUGUUUCAUACAUAAUUGCCAAGGAAGAAGGCAGGCCAGGGCUUCGCACGCUGAACGAUACACCCUGUCAUGACGUUGCCCUCUUUGGGUACAGCAAGCCCCAUCCCCCUCUCUCUGUCUCCUACACACAGGCUGCUGUGGUCAGAGAGAGGUUGUAAAUUCCCGGAGGAGAUUUUCUCCUCAUGGUCACAGUAUAGAGACAGAGUGAAUUUUCAUAGACGUCACACCCUGACCAUAGUUUGCUUUGUAUGUUUCUAUGUUUUGUUUGGUCAGGGUGUGAUCUGAGUGGGCAUUCUAUGUUGUGUGUCUAGUUUUUCUGUUUCUGUGUUUGGCCUGAUAUGGUUCUCAAUCAGAGGCAGGUGUUAGUCGUUGGGAACGAUAUGGUUCUCAAUCAGAGGCAGGUGUUAGUCGUUGUCUCUGAUUGGGAACCAUAUUUAGGUAGCCUGUUUUCUGUUGUGUUUUGUGGGUGAUUGUCUAUGUUAGUUGAUGUUGCAUGUCUUCACUCGGUUUCAUUAGCGUCACGGUCGUUUGUUAUUUUGUUUAGUUAGUUUAAGUGUUCUUCGUUUAAUAAAUAGAAGAAUGGAUUCACAUCACGCUGCAUUUUGGUCCUCUCUUUCUCCCAAGGAAGAUCGUGACACAUGUUGGCUGGCUUCACAACAUGUGUAGCUUUAAUUUGGUUUCUUUCAUGUGUGAUUUCAUGAAAGAUAGAUUUUUAUAAUAAUAUAUUUUAAUUUGGCGCGCUACAUUUUUUUCUGGCAUUUGGCCAAGUGGGACGCUACCAUCCCACAUAUCCCAGAGAAGUUAAAUAAAGGUGAAAUAAUUUUUGCAAAUAAAAAGUACUUGAUGGAGUCCAUGAUGCCAUGUAUCCAACCAAGGUUCCCAGGGCCUUUGAAAGUAAAACAGCCCACAACAUCACAAACACACUUAACGGUGGGGAAUAGGUUAUUUUCUGCAUGACCAUGACUCUUUUUAUACCAAACCCACCUCUGGUGUUUGUUGCCAAAAAAGCUCUAUUUUAGUCUCAUCAGACCAUAGAAUCUGGUUCCAAUGACAUUUAGCCAACUCCAGGUGCUUACGUUUGUGGUUUGGUGACAGCAGAGGCCUUUCCUGGCAACCCUUCCAAAUAACUUGUUGGCAUGGAGUUGGCAUCCAAUUGUAGUUUUGGAGACCCCAAGACUUCCGGCAACUUCUGCAAUUUUCCAACUGUAAUACUUGGGAGAUAUUUUUGCCACUUGAACCAUCCUUCUCACUGUGCGUGGGGGGAAAAAUACACUUGUGUCCUCUUCCAGGCAGGUUUAUCACAACUCCAGUUGUUUUACAUUUCUUAAUUACUGCCCUAAUAGUGGAGAUGGGUAUUUUCAGGCGUGUAGCUAUCUUUUUAUAGUCAUUGCCUGAUUAGUGAAGGUCAACCAUCUUUUGUCUCAUUUAAUUUCUGUGUUCUCUGGCCUUUCCCAUGUCGAUGGAUGACCAAGGGCAUUUAGCCUGUGUGUCACCUCAUAUUUAUACCCCAGUAAAAACAGGAAGUCAUGGAUGACCACUUAAGAGUUCCCAAAGACUCAGAUGAACUUUAAAAAGUCACAUCUUAAAUCGGAAUAUGCAUCAAUUCGAUUUUGUUCAUGAGAAUUUCUAAGGGUACCAAUAAUUGUGACAUGCACAAUAUAAUUAUUUAUUGAUGACGAUUUUUUUGUUGUUGUUGGAACAAUUAACUAAAUUAAAGGUUAGAUGCAUAUAUUUUGAAAGGAAGAUCAAGCUGAUAAACAACAAUGACAUUUUUUCGGACUUUAUUGUUCAUAUAUACCUAGGGUGCCAAUAAUUCAAGAGGGUACUGUAGAAGAAGAUGCAAGAACUUGGCAGAUUCCUGCUUGAUGUGACAGAGUUAAAUCCAAAUAUGCAGACUCUUCAAAGUCCUUGUACCAACCAACUUCAAGUUGGCAGUGUCAGUGACCAGGAAUGUGGUUGGGUACUUUAGUAAACAAAGCGAAUACAAACCUUCCUUGACAUGCAAAGUAGGAUAUUCCCUUAAAACAGCUGCAGGAGUACUCUGGCCUUUCCAAAUGUCGAUGCUGCAGGAGUACUGUCACGUAUCCCCCCGGUACUGCUGCUCAUUCUGUUCACCAGGUCCGGAGGUCGACGUCAUCGGCCUUCUAGGCUUAACUGAACUGUGUUAUUACGCACACCUGGUUCCAAUUGCUCACUGAUUUGUGUUUGUAUAAAUGUGCUCUUUGUUCCCCCAUUGGGCUGUCGAUUAUUGUUCCCAUGUCCGUUGGUCGUGUGAGUACCAAUGCGUUUCUCAGCCUGUUCUGCGUAUUGUUUAAUACGGGUGUCACGACCGUCUAAGGGUGAGAGAGAGGACCAAGGCGCAGCGUGUGAGAAAUACAUAUUUUAUUUAGAAGAGAGAGAAACACGAAACAAACACUUUUACAAAACAAAACAACAAACGAUCGUGAAGCUAUAGACGUAAGUGCACACACAAGCUACAAACGUACAACAUAGACAAUUACCCACAUAAACCUAGUGCCUAUGGCUAUCUUAAAUAUGGCUCCCAAUCAGAGACAAUUAAUGACAUCUGUCUCUGAUUGAGAACCAUUCAGGCAACCAUAGACACAGCUAGAUACCUACACUAACCCAUCUACUCUACUUAACCCCCUAAACCAGGGGUGUCAAACUCAUUCCACGGAGGGCCUAGUGUCUGCAGGUUUUUGGUUUUUCCUUUCAAUAAAGCCCUAGACAACCAGGUGUGGGGAGUUCCUAACUAAUUAGUGAUGUUAAUUCAUCAAUCAAGUACAAGGGAGGAGCGAAAACCCGCAGACACUCGGCCCCCCGUGGAAUGAGUUUGACACCUGUGCCCUAAACCAUACAACCACCCUAGACAAUACAAAAAACACAUACCUUCCCCAUGUCACACCCUGACCUAACUAAAAUAAUUAAUGAAACAAAGAAUACUAAGGCCAGGGCGUGACAACGGGUCUCGUCCUGUGUCAUUCUACAAGGUUUACCCUCGCUCUUUUGUUUGGAUACAUCCCAGUGUUUGUUUUGGGUGUAUAAAAACCCAGAUGUAUUCCUGCGCCUGUCUACGUGAUAUAGUUACUGGACACAAGGUGUAAUACGUAAAGUACAUUCAGAAUGUAUUCAGACCCCACCUCUGCCUCUUCCACCGGAUCCCCCACAGGGCUGUAUGUUCUCUCCUCUCCUGUACAUACUAUACACUAAUGACUAUCGUAGUGAAUAGGAAAACAGGCACAUCAUCAAAUUUGCUGAUGACUGUCAUCGUCAGUCUACUACAGGAUGGAGAGUUUGAGCAUUGGGCCUGUGGUAGAUUACUUUAUGUCAUGGAGUGAGAACAGCUUUCCUCCGAUUGAAUGUCUCCAAAACUAAAAGAUAUGGCCAUUAACUUUAGAAGGCAGGCACUGUGGUCAUAGGAAAUGACAUUGAGCUGGUUAGUACCUGGGGAACAGUGCUGGACAACAAGUUGACGUUUGAGGAGAGAACAACAGAUGCCAUCUGUAAGAAAAAUGGACAGCAGAGGAUUUUCUUUCCUGAGAAAGAUUUCAAAAAGAUCAAUGAUGACACAGUUUUACAGGAGUUUUAUUGACUCCGUAUUGAUGUUCUCGAUUGUGGCCUGGUUUAGCAAACUUAAUGUUGGGUGGUUAAGGUGGCCAGCUAGGUAAUCGGGGUGCAACAGGCACAGCUCUCAGUGACAUUCAGAACAUCCAUGUGGUAAGGAGAGCUAUAAGUAUUCUAGACUGUCCUGAUCACCCUCUCCUUGUCGAUUUUUGCACUUCACCCCUCAGUUUGUCGUUUUAGAGCCUUUCCAAACUCAAUAGCAACAGAUACAAUAACUAUUUUAUCCCACAGGACAUAAACUUUCUGAAUCUGCACAUGAAAUGUCCAUUUUUUUGCUGCACUUCUGCACAAUGAUUUCUCCUUUUUAUCGAUCUCAUUGUUUCAUGUUAUGUGGACAUCGGUUUUCACUGUUUUUAAAUGUUUAUUUUUUAUUAUUGAUGAACCCUGACUGCACAAAAAAAAAACUAAUUGGAACGAUAAAGAACUAGAACUUGAGGGGUGUGAAAGAUUGUGCAAUACAACAGUGACAAAAUAUAUAAAUCCUAAAGCGUGGGUAAGGUUGAAUCACAGCCUGCUCAUAGAUUAUAACGCUGUUCAAUAGGAGGGAGGGAGAAACACCAAGGCUACUGCUAAAAACAUACACAUCAAAUAAAUCAGAAAAUAUGCUGUCUCAGCCACUGCCUGUCACCAAGGGAGUACCUCAAGGCUCAAUCCUAGGCCCCACGCUCUUCUCAAGUUACAUCAACAUAGCUCAGGCAGUAGGAAGCUCCCUCAUCCAAGUACACUCAGCAAAGUAAAAAUGUUGCUUUUUCAGGACCCUGUCUUUCAAAGAUAAUUCAUAAAAAUCCAAAUAACUUCACAGAUCUUCAUUGUAAAGGAUUUAAACACUGUUUCCCAUGCUUGUUCAAUGAACCAUAAACAAUUAACAUGCACCUGUGGAACUGUCGGUAAGACACUAACAGCUUACAGACAGUAGGCAAUUAAGGUCACAGUUAUGAAAACUUAGGACACUAAAGAGACCUUUCUACAGACUUUGGCAAAACACCAAAGAAAGAUGCCCAGGGUCCCUGCUCAUCUGUGUGAACGUAACUUAGGCAUGCUGCAGGGAGGCAUGAGGGCUGCAGAUGUGGCUAGGGCAACAAAUUGCAAUGUCCGUACUGUGAGAUGCCUAAGACAGAGCUACAGGGAGACAGCAAGGACAGCUGAUCAUCCUCGCAGUGGCAGACCACAUGUAACAACACCUGCACAGGAUCGGUACAUGCGAACAUCACAUCUGCGGGACAGGGUGGCAACAACUGCCCGAACGCACAAUUUCUCCAUCAGUGCUCAGACUGUCCGCAAUAGGCGGAGAGAAGCUGGACAGAGGGCUUGUAGGCCUGUUGUAAGGCAGGUCCUCACCAGACGUCACCGGCAACAACAUUGCCUAUGGGCACAAACCCACCGUCACUGGACCAGACAGGACUGGCAAAAAGUGCUCUUCACUGACGAGUCGCAGUUUUGUCUCACCAGGGGUGAUGUUCGGAUUCGAGGCCUGUACUCUGGAGCGGGAUCGAUUUGGAGGUGGAGGGUCCGUCAUGGUCUGGGGCGGUGUGUAACAGCAUCAUCAGACUGAGCUUGUUGUCAUUGCAGGCAAUCUCAACGCUGUGCGUUACAGGGAGGACAUCCUCCUCCCUCAUGUGGUACUCUUCCUGCAGACUCAUCCUGAUUUGACUCUCCAGCAUGACAAUGCCACAAGCCAUACUGCUCGAUAUGUGCGGAAUCUCUGUCCUAUUGAGCACGUCUGGGACCUGUUGGUUCGGAGGGUGAGGGCUAGGUCCAUUCCCCCCUGAAAGUGCCUUGGUGGAAGAGUGGGCUAACGGUUGAAGAGUGGGGUAACAUCUCACAGCAAGAACUGGCAUAUCUGGUACAGUCCAGUCCAUGAGGAGGAGAUGCACUACAGUACAUAAUGCAGCUGGUGACCACACCAGAUACUGACUGUUACUUUUGAUUUUCAUCCCCCCAUUUGUUCAGGGACACAUUAUUCAAUUUCUGUGGAACUUGUUCAGUUUAUGUCUCAGUUGUUGAAUCUUGUUAUGUUCAUACAUGAAAAUAAAUGCAGUUGACAGUGAGAGGACGUUCAUUUACUAGCUAGUAAGCCUCAAGACACAACAUUUUUUGUUGUUGAUACAUUAGCUAGCCAGCAUUUUAAUAACAAUAACUGGUGACUGGCUAUCAUUAGCUAAAUGGGAACUUACAUUGAUAACAUUAGCUUGGGUUAGGUUGCUUGCUUGCUAGCUACCCAACUGUCCAUGUGGUGAGUGCCUUAUACAGUUACUGCUAGCUAGCUAGAGCUGUCUAGCUAAUGUUAGUGAUUACAUUAUCUUUAAUAAUGCCUGGGUAUAAAAGUAACGUUAAACGACUUAAGAUUCAAUGGUGUAACUUGCUCAAUAUGGAGGACAGUGAAGUUGGCUAAUGUUGUGGUUCAGUGAAUUUGUCCUUGGGAAAAUUGUAGGUUGGAAAUUAACAUUAAUUACUAAGAGACACAAGACAUUAGCUACUAGCUAACCAGUAGUUAGGUACAAAUGUUUUAUUUAACCAAAUGCUGAUGUUAACAAAAUGAGUAGCUAAUACAUCAAAUACUAUAAAUACAAAUGCAAUCAUUGCCUGGGGGAGAAGGCUCCACAAGGAGCCAACUAGUAGUCAGGGUUGUAAUGUCUGCGGUUUUCCCGUGAAUGGGCUACUUUGAAAACGACGUCGUAGGUGAAAAUGUAUUGGUCGUGGGAUGCAGAUUUUUUUGGGGCUACUUCCAAGUUGCAUCCCAGGUAGCACAAACAUCGUUGUUGUUUAGUGAGAUAGCUGUAGCAUUAGCAAUGUCUUCAAAAGGAGACAACUCACAAAUGAGUAAAUUCUGGUGAUUUUUUUUUAUUUAAAAAAUGUGUUUUAAAGUCAGGAAUCCGAUUCUGACAGUGAGGAGCUGCCCCCCAACCUUGUAGCCAUUAAGAACCCUGAAUCUGAGGACUCCUUGUCGACUGACGAAGUCCCAGAUCCCUUUGAAGAUGCUGGUGGUGAUGGAGGCAGACCGACAGUGGAUGAAGUACAGGAGUUCUGUGGUAGCUGGAAGGCCACCAGUAAUUUCACCCCUUCUGGCCCUGCUGUUUGCUUUGAUGAGUCCCAGUCUGGAGUGCAACACCCCUUGCCAUUUCCAUCUGAGGCAGAGUGCUUCAAGCUGUGUUUGACAGAGGAGCUGGUUAGAGACAUAUUAGAGGAGAACAAUCGCUAUGUCUUGGAGCAACAGGAAAAGAGAGAGCCAGGAGUGAGGGGGAAACUCGCUAAAUGGGUGACAACCACAAUUAAUGAAAUGUAUUGGUGGAGGCCAUUUGAACUCAGCUCGGUCAAAUCCAUCUCAGCGUCAUGCAGUCUGCCGGCGUCAAGAAGAGCAGAUGCGGGCGCUCAUUCUGGCAGACCACGUGGCCACCAGGGAGGCAGUGCUGAACAGCCUGAGGUUGAUAGCUCUUUGAGGUUAAUCAAAGGACCAACAGUCAGUGGUAAGACAUACUUAUGGAAGACUUGUUACAUAAAGCCAUGUGACUAAUGCCUAAUGCCAAUCUGAGUGACAGCUUGUGUUUGUUUUUCUCUCCCUAUUUCAGGUACUCCCGGCAUCAGAAGGAGAGGCGCUGCAGCAGGGGUUGGGGCUCGCUCCUGCCCCAGUGUCACCGCCCAGCUCCUCCCUGCAGCCAAGCCCCUCCACUACUAGCGGGAGGGGUUCCAGGCACCCUUUCCU